GGAGGGGUACCAAAGUGGCCAACUGGGGCGGACUGUAAAUCCGUUGCGCAAGCUUCGUAGGUUCGAAUCCUAUCCCCUCCA
rnacentral:tRNA from 1 species